CUUUCAGCAGGGACGAAGCGAAAGUGACGGUACCUGCAGAAGAAGCACCGGCCAACUACGUGCCAGCAGCCGCGGUAAUACGUAGGGUGCAAGCGUUGUCCGGAAUUAUUGGGCGUAAAGAGCUCGUAGGCGGUUUGUUGCGUCGGCUGUGAAAACCUGAGGCUCAACCUCAGGCCUGCAGUCGAUACGAGCAGACUAGAGUGUUGCAGGGGAGACUGGAAUUCCUGGUGUAGCGGUGAAAUGCGCAGAUAUCAGGAGGAACACCGGUGGCGAAGGCGGGUCUCUGGGCAACAACUGACGCUGAGGAGCGAAAGCGUGGGGAGCGAACAGGAUUAGAUACCCUGGUAGUCCACGCCGUAAACGUUGGGCGCUAGGUGUGGGGCUCAUUCCACGAGUUCCGUGCCGCAGCUAACGCAUUAAGCGCCCCGCUUGGGGAGUACGGCCGCAAGGCUAAAACUCAAAGGAAUUGACGGGGGCCCGCACAAGCGGCGGAGCAUGUUGCUUAAUUCGAUGCAACGCGAAGAACCUUACCUAGGCUUGACAUGCACGGAAAUCCUCCAGAGAUGGGGGGUCCGUAAGGGCCGUGCACAGGUGGUGCAUGGUUGUCGUCAGCUCGUGUC
rnacentral:rRNA from 1 species